GCAUCCCUGCUGUGUGCGUGAGAAGUCGUAAGUUUUUGCCAACACAAAGACAAAGGGAGCCUGGACUCUGUAUAUGGCAUGGAAGCCCCUGAUAAGGGGGAACCAUAAAGUAUACAGGAGGGCACCCACCUGGUAUUUGGGGUUUAAACUACGACUUAUCACGGCUCGGUGGGGUUUUU
rnacentral:other from 1 species